rnacentral:lncRNA from 1 species
AAUUAUUUUCAACAAAGAGGAAGGUAUGCUAAUACUGUUUUUCAGCUUUUUGCUGGAACCCCAUCACUGUCCUUGUCACUCAUGUGCAAGAUGAGAAUGCAUGAGGUGGGAACUUUAAGGCUGAAUCCCUUAGAUCAGUUGCCUAAAGCUGAGGUGUUCUUACAAAUAUACAGGAGAGAAGCAAGCCCAAGAAAAUCAAAACAAAAUGCAGGAAAGAAGCAUGUUCUGAACAGGCUCAAUAAUAAAGUCAACUGGCAUAAAUAAGCAGCACUGUACACCCAUGUAAGCAUCUGGCUACCACAUUACUCAGAAGGGAAAAAUUGGGCCCGAAAGCUUUGAUCCAUCUUGAGCUCCUCCCCUGCAGACAAGAAAUGAGCAAUUUUGAAAAUGCUUCAUAACCAAGUACUGAAUCAUGGAUUUAAAAAAAAAAAAAAAAAAAAAAAGAAAAGUAUAAGCAGCUCAUGCACUAGCACUCACUGCCAUGUUUGUACUCCUGUGCAAAAAAUGGGAUUUUUCAUGUGAUCAUGUAUGGUCUUAGUAUCUUUGCACACUUCUGUCAGUGUGUGCGUGAGAUACUAAUGCAGACAGGCCAGAGUCAAAUCCCCAGAUUCAGGCACUUCUGAGCUCUAGACUGUUCAAAAUCCAAAUUAGGGUUUUAAAGCUUCAUCCUUUCUCUAAUAUUUAUUCAGAUUUAUGAUACAUGUAGUACUUUAGAGCUAAUUCUUGUUCAUAAUGUAGCUGUUGUUCAGUCGUGACUCUAGUGUGUAAAAAUCCUGCAUUUAUCUUUGAGCCUGUAGACAUUUAAGUCUCUGUGUUCUUCAGGGCUGUAUGUAUUUAUUUAGUCCUUUGCCUGUUUGAUAGAUGGCAGCAGAUAAAUGUUUCCUAUCCAGGGAUGUCUCAUUAGUUUUUGAUUUUAGUAUCUUCUGUCAGCAAAUAAUAGGGGAUUUUUACACAUUUGUGUGAUUGUAUUGUGUUUUCACUCUUAGUUCCUUCCGUGUUUUCACAGGUGAGGUGACACAUAAAUACGACCUUAUCCUUAAAUACUGUUUUCAAAGAAAAUGCAUUUAUCCUAUAACCAGAGCCUGAUCGCCUUGUCGUUACAGCCCCGCUGUUUUCGAAGAAGCAGUCUCACUCUCUGAUACAGAAGGUGGAGACUGGGAAGCUGGCUCUGCUAAGCCUUGCCUAAUGCAAACUGCUUUAGUAUGCACAUCACAUCAUGCCGGCUAUACUGCAGGGAGCAGGCAGUUAUCGCACAAGCGUGCAUCCUCAGAGCCAGGAUAAACACUCCGUUACUCUCCCUCUAAACUGCUCUUCUGGGAGGGACAGAAAAUAAAUAGGGAGCGAGAGAGGCA